rnacentral:lncRNA from 1 species
AAAACGAGUAAAACGACAUAAUCGAUAAAAAUGCUAAAUGUUCAUAAGUAAGUGUUAGAGUGGGAAUUUGAUGUUGUCAUAGAAGGGAAAAAUGUUCAGCAUGUCAUAAUACAUAAGAAUAAGGGAUGAAGUUUAAUUUACGAGCUUUGGGGCAAAAGUGUAAAUAUGCAAAAGUUUAGGGGCAAAAUUGUAAUUUUUCCAAAGUUUGAGUCAAGG